rnacentral:RNase_P_RNA from 2 species
CGGGUCGGCUGGACGACCGCUGCCUGGGGUGCGGGGAAACCCGCAACCGUCAGGGGGAGGAAAGUCCGGGCUCCAUAGGGCGCGGUGGUGGGUAACUCCCACCAUCCGAAGGCUGGCCAGACUCGCUUGCGUGUCUAAUCAGCCGAAGGGUCGGGAAAGUGCAACAGAAAGUGUACCGCCCCAGGAAGCAAUUUCUGGGGUAAGGGUGAAAAGGUGGGGCGGUUCGCCGCUUAAUGUAAGAGCCCACCAGCAGCCGGGCGACCGGCUGGCUCGGCAAACCCCACCGGGAGCAAGACCAAGUAAGGGAGGAGGGCCGGCCCGGCCCGUUAUCACUCCCGGGUAGGUUGCUGGAGCGCGCGGGUAACCGCGCGCCUAGAGAAAUGGUCGUCACCCGCGCGCAAGCGAGGGAACAAAACCCGGCUUACAGGCCGGCCCGGUGA